GACGAACGCUGGCGGCGUGCUUAACACAUGCAAGUCGAACGGAAAGGCCCUGCUUUUGUGGGGUGCUCGAGUGGCGAACGGGUGAGUAACACGUGAGUAACCUGCCCUUGACUUUGGUAUAACUUCAGGAAACUGGGGCUAAUACCGGAUAGGAGCUCCUGCUGCAUGGUGGGGUUUGGAAAGUUUCGGCGGUUGGGGAUGGACUCGCGGCUUAUCAGCUUGUUGGUGGGGUAGUGGCUUACCAAGGCCUUGACGGGUAGCCGGCCUGAGAGGGUGACCGGCCACAUUGGGACUGAGAUACGGCCCAGACUCCUACGGGAGGCAGCAGUGGGGAAUAUUGCACAAUGGGCGGAAGCCUGAUGCAGCAACGCCGCGUGCGGGAUGACGGCCUUCGGGUUGUAAACCGCUUUCGCCUGGGACGAAGCGUGAGUGACGGUAAUGGGUAAAGAAGCACCGGCUAACUACGUG
rnacentral:rRNA from 1 species